ensembl:lincRNA Gm13842 predicted gene 13842
CAGGAAGUCUGUUAGCCAGGGACUCACAGAUACUGCCUCUGUGGCAUGCCAGUGGGUAUCCGUGAGAGGGGAAGGCUGCUGGGUUCUGAUAUUACAUCCUCAUAAGUACCAUGGGAAAACUCUUUAAAAGCUCGUUGUUUGUGGUCUAUGCUGGUUUUUGUAAUUGUGUCAUCGUCGUGGCAACCAUUUGCAAAGCAUCCCAAGUACUUCUGCCGCUCUGAAGCCCCACCCGGAUUCUCCCUGACUUUAUUGGAAGUUUGUGUGUGGGGAUUGAACUCGGGUCAUCAGGAUACAAGCAUCUAUACCACUGAGCCAUCUCUCCAGCCAGCACCUUUGAUUCUGUGUUGAUUGUUCCUGUUGGAAAGAGGCUAGAGUCAGCCCAUGAGGUAUACAAACCAGACAGCACAGUCUUGAGAAGAGGGUUCAGCCAAGAUCUCAGUGCUUACUUGCCUUCUGUAGCAGGCAUCCCUGCAAGCAGAGCUCACUUGUGCAAUCCCGGGAACUGGGCUGUCUCGUUGGCUGGAAA